GUCCACAUGUUGUCCUGAGAUUGGCUGUUGUGGAAUCAAAAUAGUGGUUUUAAGAGCCAGUGAGAAGGUGACACGGGGUGUGAGGGAAUCUGCAAAAGCUGCAGACCGUUUUGCCAGCUGCAGGUGGGGCUGGAGGUGGAGUGCCUUUCAGGUGGUGUUUUUCCAUUAGAGAGAGGGCGGCAGAGAUCUUGAGGAAGAGAGAGAGCUUUGGUUUGGUUUUUUGGGGGGGGGAGAUAUUUUUGGAAAGAAGAACCAGAGAAAAAAAAAAGUUGAGGGGGAGAGCUAGGGGGAAAAAGGUAUUCGUUGAGCGAGAGAGGAGGAAGCAAGCUGGGGAGGGGAACCAGAGUGUUGGGAUGAAAAAGAGAUGAGGCGGUUUUGAGUUGAAAAGAUUACCAAGAACCAGAGAAAAAGGGCCUCCAGGUUUUUCCCGGGGGUAAGUUUUCCACUAUGUUCUUGUUUCUUUCUUUUUACUGUUCAUAUAUUGAUAUUGAGAUGCAUUGUUGUUGAUCUUUGGAUGGGUUAUGCUCUGUUCUUCAUAGUUGACUGCUCCUCUUUUGCUUCUGUUUAUGACUGGAAAUUGAUUUAACUUUGUUUUAUCUCCUCUGUGGCAUUUUAAUGAGGAAAGACCUUUUAAUUCACUCAUCCGCAAGCCCACUUACUAAGAGGUGAAGUAUAGUUCUUCAUGCUUCAUCCUAUUUGCUUCCUCCAUUGCUCUGUUUUUCCAUUUUUUUUUCCUCUCUGCUUUUGGUGUUUGGACUUUCUUGGGUAUGGAGCCGUAAUGGGGAGUGAACUGUGAGAAGAGAGGGCUGUGAGUUAGCUUACUGCUCCAGAUCCGUGAUCCAGUGGACGAGAUGUAUACAUGUGUUGUAUUAGUUGAUGUUUUGGCUCCCAUACUUGAGGUUCCUCCCGUGAACGAAGGUCCCAGAAAUGGAGUUUGACUUCUUGUAAUUGCUAAAAUAGUUGGAGCUAUGCAUCGGUUCAAAUGAAGCAGGAGUUUGUUAACCAGACUGUGUUCAUGGAUGCUCUGUUUUGGACCUCAGUGAGAAUGAAAUUGGUUUGAUUCUAUCCUUGUGGAUCUAAAGGCGAUUAAAAGGAUCCAAGGUGGUGAGCAGGGAACACUUGAGGCUGGUUUUGUUCUUGUCUCAGCUGGCGUCCGCGCUAUUGAUGAUGUAAUUCCAGGUUCUAUGUUAACUCACAAGGCAGAAGAGGGAGGCAGAGAUCUUUCCUGAGGGGAAGCUUGAAGAAAGAAAUCUGAGGCGACGGAGCAGAGAGAGGAAGCUGAGGGAAGACAUCUAGUGCAUUUUCAGGGGGUUUCUGGGAAAGUUUAAUUUGGUUUAAUAGCAUCAGCUGUGGAAAGAAGCCAAGGAUUUUGAGGGAUUAUUUCCAAUUGUCAAUGUGGAUGAUGACCAUUCUCAGAGUCAUUUCUGAGUUGGAUGGAUACGGCUGUAUCGAAUGUGGACUCAAGAUUCUGGAGUGCAGUAUGGCAAUCCGAUUCAUUGUUGGCUUCUAGAGUUGAGAAAUUCAGACCCAUGGUCUUCAUGGCAGGACAUUUGGUUUCAAUGUCGGACUGGUGCAGUCCCUUGCAUUGGUUAUAUGCAGGCGCAUGUAUUUAUGGAGUCCGGUGGUUGUUGUCGGAAAUUGUUCCUGGAGAGGAUAAAGGUCAGUGAUGCCUCCUAAAGUGGUGUUCACUCAAGUUAUUGAAGUUCCUGUGCCUUUUAAAAUGCAGAUACUCAAGUAAUGCCUAUGAUGUCCAUCAACCUCCCUGAAAUUCCAUAAGAAGCAUUGGUGGAGAUCUCGUUUUGAUUAUGCAGUUUAAAGUGGUGGUCCUUGAGAUUUCUAGUCAACUGUUAGAAUCCGAUGUUUGUGGGAGAGAAGAGAAGGGUUUAGUUAUGCAUCUUCCAACUACAGCUUAUUUAUAUGCUUCACUAACAGCUGAGAUUACCCCCCAUUCUUCCGAGGUUAAAAUGGCCAGUUCGGAGUGGCUUUUGUGGGUCAUUCGAAGAGAAAACUGGAAUUUCUAAGAUCGGAAAUGGCUGCUGCUGUAAGGUAACUUAUUGCAAGGAUGAGGAGUUUGGGAUGGUUGUGAGAGGAGAAGACUCCUAAACUGAUGGUGCAGCUCGAUCCAAGUUUUAUGGAUGCUAAAUGCAUUCAGAUUUUGUUUUGAUGGUAAGACUUGCCAAGCCGAACAGGGGAAUAUAUUGAAAGAUCAGACGAAACUUUGGCUAACCAAAUCGCAGAAUAUCCAAAUGGCUAUGAUAUAUGGACUAAAGAGAGUCCUGUGAAAUGGAAAUCAGGGCAUCAUGUUGAGAAUCUUGAACCACAAUUCAAUUCUGAUGGUCUCACCUUCCUGCGCAAACUAAGCAUGGUUCCGUUUCAUCCUGCAUUGGGUUGAUUUCAGAUUGAGAGAGGGGUGAAAAUGGCAUUAGCGGACUUUUUUAUGGUCCUCAUUAUUUUUCCACAUCUCACCGUCUACCCACCCUAUCCUCUAAUAUCUCAUAUAAUGGUCACCUCUGUUAUGUCCUAUACCCAUCAACUAUGCCUCAUACCACCAUGCACCAUGUCAUUCCUCACCCUACAUGAUCCUUGUCUCCAUUCCCAUGUAAAUAUUCCACUAAUCAUCUCCCCAUUCUCCAUACUUUCCACUUACAAUACCCAUGCCUCAUGACACCCUGCACAUGACCAUACUUCAUCCUACCACCUUUUCUCUCACUACACCACGGGUAUGCCCACUUACCCUCUCAUUCUAACAUCUUUUCUACUCCACUCCUACUAACCCAUUCCUUUGUCAUGACGUCAAUGCCCAUUCACCAACUGUCUUACAUCCAUAGCCAUCAAACCUCUCUCAAGUCCACCCCACACCACUUCAUGCCCACCACUUGAAGUUCACCUAUCACCAUACCCACGGGCAUGGGACUCAUACAUACCCAUUGUCAACAGUCCACUCCCCCACCAUAUUUAUUCACCUUUCUCUCUAAGCCUAUUUACACUCCUUAUCACCUCCUCUCACCACCUUGCUAUUAUGCCCCAUGUCUACACCUUGCACACCCAUCAAACUCUUCAAACCUAUAUUCAAAAAUCACCAAUCCACGUGCAUGGGACUCAUGCAAACCCUUCUCUCAUCUUAUCCAUCUUCAUUCUUCCCACAGCACCUGCCCAUGGCCACUCAUCACCUUUUCUCUUUCAUCACCACCCUCACACGCCCGUUCUCUCUCAUUAACUUUCAUACCCAUUUCCUCUAUUUCUCUCAUGCCCAUAGCUGAUUCCACUCAUCAUUCUCCUCCUAAACCCACUAAAUCCAUCAGUCUCAUCACCCUUCGCGCUCCCUAUAUCCACCGCCAAUUGACCAUUCCGUUCUCAUACCCAUAACUUCUCAUUCAUUAUCUUUCUGUUCACCUCACCAAAGGAAUAUUGCUUCUUUAUCUCUCAUGCCUUUCUCUCUCUCACUCUCAUGCGCCUUCAUCCCCCACGUGGCUCAUCCAAAAUUCAACAUUUUAGAAGAAUUCGCUUAGGAUACCAUUCCCCUCGUCCUUGGGUCUCUUCCGAAGCUUGAUGCGUGCUAAUCCAGUUUUGAUGAAACUGAUUGUUGAUUCAGUAUUCACUCAGUAAUAGGAGUGGCAGCCGCGACCUGGAAUCCUUUCAUUCAUGCACACCUGAUAGAGUCAUACUCCCAUGCGCACUCUGCGGCUCAAUAUAUGCAGUCCUAGGAAAACUGAUUUUGGAGCAGUGGACCACCCAAGAGUGAAGAUCUCAUCAUAGAUCCAUCCCAGAAUCUCCGUGUGUGGGUUAUAUCUGAAGAUUGCUCUUCUCUGUGCUCUACAUGGUGAGAAGUGCCAAGCUUCCUUUGAUCCUAUCAGCAACAGAGUUCAGAUUUUCAGGGGUUUCAUCAGGUUUGAAUGGACCAAAUGCACCAGAAAUGCUUGGGAUACAGAUGAAUUCUCUUCAUGUGAAAGUCUCUAUGUUGUUGCUGAUUGUGGCCAGCAUGUCCCUCGAGAGUUACGAACAUCACUCGUGCUUGCGUCUGAAUGCUGAAUCCUGUUAAAAACGUAUUGAAUCCAGCAUGAAGUGGGUAAACCGUGGUAUUGCAUAAAUCAGACAACGGAUCAGGUUUAUUCCUUUAUGUCAGUAUGCAUAGUCACUCCCAAUGACUACUCAGUAGCUACACGCGGAAGAGUGAGUAGGGUCCCACAAUGCUAUUUGCCAGACCAAAUGACUAUUCUAACACCUCAUCCCAUCACAUGGGCUGCUUUGACCUUGGAAUUUUUGUGGAAAUGAACCAACGUUCUAGGAAGUGCCUUGCGGAGAAGAUGCAGCUGAGAUACCAGUGAAGACUGAUGGUUGUUGACGUGUAAAACCUGAGAAUGAAUAUGGGAUUCUAGCAUAGUGAUGCCAGGCUGAUGACUGCAAGAAAGGUUCAAAGACCCUGAUUAUCAAGUUAUCUUUAUAGCAAGUAUAACCUCAUGAUGCCAUUAUCUGGUCAAUCCAUAAAGUUUUUGCUACAUGGAGGUUUGGGGUACUAAGUGAGUUGAAGAUCAAGUCUACAUGGCCGAGAUGUUGAUGCCAGAGAAGGUUCCAGUGAUGUUAGCAGCAGAUCGAGUAAUUCAUAUGUUCAUGUUUGGGGAAGGGUAUUAGAGACAUAUGGGAAAUUGCAAGAGAUCAUCUUCAGAGGCAGAGAUAGAAUAAUGUGCAGUCAGUGUUCAAGGUGCCCCAAGUUUGCAUUCCUAGUCUGCAUGGCUUGUUUAGUCAUCCCUAUGCCACGUAUCACCUCCCAUUCCAUCAAUCUUUUGGCUUAAAAAAUAAUUUCUGACAUCUUUUCUUGCAAAUAACUUUUUAAACAUCGAUUUUCAAAUAAUUUAAAUAUUUUCCAUCUUUCAUCCUUAGGUUUUCUUUAGGUUCCAAAAUCCCAUUUUUUUUAAUAAAACUUUGUUGUCAUCUUUCCUUCCAGCAAACAAUUUUCACACCUCCUUCGUUUUAAAAUGUUUUAAAAUAAAUAUGAAUUUAAAUUCCGUAAUUCCAAAUAAUGGAAUUUAUGGAAUUAAUUCAUGCAAAAAUAAAUGGGCUUUGGUGGGGGCCCAACAUCAAAUAAAUUUUCUUUAAAAUAAAAAUGAAUUUUGAGUGGAGUGCCAUGCGUGCCUUUGAUGAUUUUGUACUCGAUUUAGUGAUAUGUGAGCUAUGUUUAUGCUCUUUAUUUUGCACUAACCCUCUCUUGAUAGCGCAUAGUGGUUCGCUGCUCAGGUACAUACUCAUUCCUACUCUUUUUAGUCUAUGUGCAUUUUCUGACUCCCGUAUGUGCAUGAUUUGAUUUGAGUAUUCAUUGAUUUUCUCAUUGAUUGCCAUGUCAGCUUCAUUUCAUUAGUAGAGACCCGACUUUAGGGACUUAAAGGGGUGCUACGGUCUUCACCGUACCUUCCCGAUAAGUAACCUGACCCCCGAACCCGAUCCGGUUUUUCACAUACCACCUUUUCCAAAAUAAGGAGUCACACUUAGGGUUUUUCUUUCUUAUUUUGUUUACCCUUUAAAAAUAAAACAAAAAUAAGUGGCGACUCCAAGUCAUUUUCAAAUAAUCAAUAAAAAUCAAUUUUUCAAAUAAUAAAAACGAGUUUCGCCAUCGAGUGGGAAACGCAUUCGAGCGAUCGAAAUGCGGGGUCCACAGUUACAUUUUCUUUUCUUUGCUUUUUUUUUUUGGUAUCGUUUUCCAAAUUAAAAAAGAAAAGAAAAGAAAAUCAAAUUCAAAGUUUGUUAUCAUAAUCUAACAUGAUGAUGUGGCAAUUUGGUGUAUUUUACCAUAUAAGUAAUCAUUGCUACUCAUAGAUGUCUUUUAGACUCAUUAAUUGGUUUUUUAAAACAAAUAACUUUGCCUCCCUCUAUCUCUUUGUGGUAAUUGGUUUUAGACUCGUUGAUUAUCCGUUUUCCACGAGUCAGCUCAUCUUUGAUUACGGGUAAGGUUCUGCUGCUAUCAGAAUGCGUUUUGAUAGUCUUUUUAACUGCUCUUGAUUGAAGUACUGAUGUGAAUUUUGGAGAAGAAGAUUAUCCAAUUCAUGAUGCAUAUGUAGGUGAAGCUCCUGCUGGGAGUCAUGUGGAUGUGGUUUCUAUCUACUGUAUUUCAUGUGGAAGCUGGCUUGGAUUGGGCAGUACUUGCCACCCUGUAAUCCGUGAAGGCCAAUUUGUACUCGCAUGUGGUGGUGGUGUAAGGAUAGAAGUUGUAUUUCCUAUGUAAAUUUCUCUAUACAUUUGUUAAAAUUUAUUCCAAUUAACUAUAUAUUUCUAUUAUCUCUUUCU